rnacentral:rRNA from 1 species
GAUGAACGCUAGCGGCAGGCUUAAUACAUGCAAGUCGAGGGGUAGCAAGAUUGUAGCAAUACAAUUGUUGACGACCGGCAAACGGGUGCGGAACACGUACACAACCUUCCUACAAGUGGGGAAUAGCCCAGAGAAAUUUGGAUUAAUACCCCGUAACAUAGCGAUGUGGCAUCACAUUGCUAUUAUAGCUUCGGCGCUUGUUGAUGGGUGUGCGGCUGAUUAGAUAGUUGGCGGGGUAACGGCCCACCAAGUCUACGAUCAGUAGCUGAUGUGAGAGCAUGAUCAGCCACACUGGCAAUGGGACACGGGCCCGACUCCUACGGGAGGCAGCAGUAAGAAAUAUUGGACAAUGGACGCAAGUCUGAUCCAGCCAUGCCUCGUGAAGGAUUAAGUUCCUCUGGAUUGUAAACUUCUUUUAUAAGGGACGAAAAAAGGUCUUUCUAGAUCGUCUGACGGUACCUUAUGAAUAAGCACCGGCUAACUACGUGCCAGCCGCCGCGGUAACAC